rnacentral:tRNA from 1 species
GAGGUUGUGGCUCAGCGGUAGAGCACUUGCCUAGCAUGUGUGAGGCCCUGGGUUCGAUCCUCAGCACCACA